GGCACAGGGUGCACAAAGGCACAUUAUCAGUGCGGUGACACUUGAACAAAUGAACUGAUCAUGCGCGACACUGACCAAUAAACAAACGAGUUGUUUUAUUGCGUCUAUGACUUGAAUCUUAUCAUCAGUUGUAGUGAUGGGAAGUUCGGAUCAUUUUACCGAAUCUGACUUUUGAGUCUCGUUCAGCAAAAUGAACGAAUCUUUUUUCGAGUCAUUUCAAAUGAACGAACAACCAGAAGGUUCAGGAAGAAAAAAACAAAGUGCUUGCAGUCUGUUUCACAUUAGGAGGCAUUUUGCUGCAUAAUCGAUCCACCACAAACCAUAUGCAACUAUGGAAGCUCAACUUCCAUUAAAUGGACUGAAAACGCUCAAGUAACGUUAUAGGUCUCAAAACGCUUGCUCUGCGCCAGUGGAUACACACCAUAGGCAGUAAAAGAAAUAUGUGCAUGUCACAGACUGUCUGGGCAUGCACUUCCGCGUUUCAGAGAUCCGCCUUUUACUUUCCGUCAACAUUACAUUAAAUUAACGUUUAGAAAAUUGAUUUUUGACAUUUGUGAAUCAAUUAAGAAUCGUCUGCUUAUGCAUUGCGAUACAUUUAAGAAUCAAAUUUUUAUCCCACCCCUACUAAAUAUAGUAUAUAAUGUAAAUGUAAAAAUCUGAAAUACAAAAUAAUAAUAAUAAUAAAUAAAAUGGUAUAGGUAUUAAUUACUAUUGUGAUAUUGAUUGUUAUAGGAGACACUGACAAGUGGGCACUGGGUGCUGAGUAUUGAAGGCGAGGUGGUGUGUGAGGGCACUCAGCCCAGUUUCCUGUCCGGCCUUGCCACUCUGUUUGCUGCUUAUUACUAGUUUAAUCUUGAGUAUCAGGAAGAAGCAGUGUGUACCUUGGAGUUCAUUCAAAGGUGCUUUGUGGGCAUAAAUCCGGAGAGAGGAUCCAAAGCCAAGGGAAAAGUGCCAUCGAAAUAAAAACAGGACAAGUGAUACAGAAGAAAAUGUGUGGCAGUCAACCCACAUGUUGCCACUCUUCUGUGCAAAUUCCAAUGGAAUUUCUGAAAUUCACACUUUGAAUCCUGGGAUGGAACUUCAUCUGGAGCAUAAUUGUUAUUUGGUUGAUUUUUAUCUGUUUGAUGGAAAGUUUGUAUGACUUCUGCAAGUGCGCGGCUCCUUCCGGUCAGUCAUGCAUCACUUUUUUUUGUAUGACUUAUUUGGCAAUAUUGGUCUAUUCUUUAAUGAUGAAAGCUAUCUGAAAAUGUCUUUGUGGUUUUUAAAGGAUUAGUUCACCCAAAAAUGAAAAUUAAGUCAGUAAUUACUUAUGUCGUUCCACACCCGUAAGAUCUUCGUUCAUCCUCACAACACACAUUAAGAUGUGGCUCAGUGAAGCCUGCAUUUCUAGCAAGAUCAUUUCUUUUUUCAAUGCCCAGAAAGCCUCUAA